rnacentral:rRNA from 1 species
AUUGAACGCUGGCGGCAUGCCUUACACAUGCAAGUCGAACGGUAACGCGGGGCAACCUGGCGACGAGUGGCGAACGGGUGAGUAAUGCAUCGGAACGUGCCCAGUAGUGGGGGAUAGCCCGGCGAAAGCCGGAUUAAUACCGCAUACGACCUACGGGUGAAAGGGGGGGAUCGCAAGACCUCUCGCUAUUGGAGCGGCCGAUGUCAGAUUAGGUAGUUGGUGGGGUAAAGGCCUACCAAGCCUACGAUCUGUAGCUGGUCUGAGAGGACGACCAGCCACACUGGGACUGAGACACGGCCCAGACUCCUACGGGAGGCAGCAGUGGGGAAUUUUGGACAAUGGGCGCAAGCCUGAUCCAGCCAUGCCGCGUGCGGGAAGAAGGCCUUCGGGUUGUAAACUGCUUUUGUACGGAACGAAACGGCCCUUUCUAAUACAGGGGGCUAAUGACGGUACCGUAAGAAUAAGCACCGGCUAACUACGUGCCAGCAGCCGCCGUAAGAC